GACGAACGCUGGCGGCGUGGAUUAGGCAUGCAAGUCGAACGGUAUCAUCCUUUCGGGGGUGAGAGAGUGGCGAACUGGUGAGUAACACGUAGGUUAUCUACCCUCAAGACGGGGACAACCCAGGGAAACUUGGGCUAAUACCGGAUGUGAGCAACUUUUAGUUGUUUGAAAGGUGGCGUAAGCUGUCGCUUGGGGAUGAGCCUGCGUCCUAUUAGUUAGUUGGUGAGGUAACGGCUCACCUAGGCAAUGAUAGGUAGGCGGCCUUAACGGGUGGUCGCCCACACUGGGAUUGAGAUACGGCCCAGACUCCUAACGGGAGGCAGCAGUCGAGAAUAGUCUACAAUGGUCGGAAGACUGAUAGUGCGACGCCGCGUGAACGAUGAAUCCCUUCGGGGUUAAAGUUCUUUUAUAUGUGAGCAGUGCUUCUUAUAUUAACAGUAUGGGGAAGAGAUAUUAGCAAUAUGAAUAAGCAACGGCUAACUCCGUGCCAGCAGCCGCGGUAA
rnacentral:rRNA from 1 species